GCAUUAGGGAAGCUAAUGUGAUGGUAUUCGGUAAUUAAGACCAAUUUGCUGCCAAAUAUAAAUCGCAUGCCGUGUGUAAUUGAAGGGGAAAGACCACCCCUAUCACAGCUAUAGACUGUGCACAUUAUCAAGCCUCCAAAGGAAGCGUCUAACUUUUUCUGAGGAGGGAGUACAUUGUCUGGUGCAGUCGCUCUACCGUAGUGAGUCAGAAAAAGCGAGCUUGAUGAAGGUGUGAUGUAGGGAGGUGUAGUUCUGGGCUACUGAAGAGUGGCCCAUGAUGUCUGCCACACGCUGGCCCUUACAGUGGGGACAACUAUUGUCCCUACUUCUAAGUGUCCUGCCAUUUGUGAUAGCUGAGGACUGUAUCAUCCCUAAAUCCUUUCCACAUUUUAUGACAGUGGACAUGCAAGAAGUUAGCUCUGGUUUGUGCUACAAAUGCUAUGGUGCCCCCACAAAACAACAAUUCCAGGUACUUUUACAUAAACUAAGACUAGGUGGGUUAGGGUCUAUGAUGAUGUAUGUGGACGGCAACCCACGGGAAUUCAACAAAGACUGCGGUGAAUGUGAAACAGAAAACUUUAUUGAAGUUGGUAAAGAUGGCGAGUUGAACACAAAAGCUGAGGCUCAGUGCCGUGAGUGUGAUUCAGUGCCUAGCGGAUCAUUAUUAGAACUUUAUGUCCGCAUGAAUCCUCAAGCACAGGUGCCACUGGAAGGUGAGAAUUUAUGUCAAAGCCUGCAGGACAUCCUCCCUAAUUUUAAUGUAAGCCUUAAUGUAAUCGAUAAAAAACCAGAUGCUGAGGCUUCUUCUGGCUGUGAUGGUGGCUUUAGUGUUAAUUUUCCCCUUUCUGGAGACACUUGUAUUGUAAAUUCCACUACCUCUACUGGAGAAACCCAGUGUGUGGUUCCAACAUGUUCAGAUGGUAUUAUCUCACCUGGAAUGUCAGUUGAAAAAGUUGAACACAAGUUUCUUCCUUCCAGUACUCCUGAAACUUGUGUGUGGCAGUUAGAAACCGAGCAGAGGAAACAUUUGACUUUAAAGUUUUCAGAAAAUAUUCGACCACAUUUAACAAUCUUUGAAGACUCCUUGUUAAAUCCCAAGUGGGACAUUGAGUGGUGUCCAUCAUUUCCCAAUGAAUUCAUGUUUGAAACGGAGGCUGAUAAAAUCUUCAUAGUGUAUCGUAACCUUCAGAAACUCACAAAGAAAGGAACAUUCUCAUUAUCAAGCCAAACAGAUCUUUGCCUCCUGCCUCCAAAGCUCGAAAAUGGGAAUGUUGAAUUCAAACAUCUUGACUCAGGCACGGUUGCGUAUUAUUCUUGCGACAAAGGCUAUAUUCUUGUCGGUCCCAAGGAACUUCGAUGUAAAAGUCAACCAUGGGAUAAACCUCCAAUUUGUCUCCCUGUUGGUGAGGAUAAACUGAUGUCAGAUGCCCCCAUGGGAUCAAUUGAAAAUUUGGAGAGUGUGAAUGCCAGUGUUUUGAUCUCAGAAAAUGGCACCUCUUUGGCUCCCGACAGUGACGCACAAGGGAACAUGCCCGAUACAGAGACGUAUGAUAUGGAAGGAGAGGGCCAUGAGAAUGAAGAGGCGAAUGAUGAAUAUGAGGAGGAGAAAGAAAUUAAGAAGUUAGCAGAGGAACCAACUAUGAUAGAGGAAGAAACUUAUUCCAAUGAGUCACUGUUGGAAAAAGGUGAAGGCGAUGAGUCUAGCAAUGUCAAUGUCCAUUCCACCAACGAUUCGUCAUCCAGGGACAUAUUAAUCGUGACUGAUGACAGCAACAGAAGUCUUGAUAUCCUGAGAGAGAUCUUCAACCUAACAUUGGAAGAUGAUAUGACUCUCUACCUCCUCAUCGGUGCAGCUGGACUUCUGGUAAUUAUCAUUAUAAUCUUAAUCAUUUCAAUCAUUGUGUACCGGAAGAAGUAUCCAGUUCGUUUAGGCCUGGGCAGAAAAUUUGACACUUUCCAGAAUCCCAUAUAUGAAAAAACAGUUGUUCAGAUGCCCAUGCAAAUUGAAGAAACGGAAGUAGGGAGGAAGAAGAGUGAUGCAGAAGAAAUCAGUGAUUGUACAGUUUUGGAAUAACAAGUAUUGAAAAUAGUUCAGUACAUGAUGUAAAGUAUUGUUAUGACUUAUCAGUAUGUCAAAUUUACAGUUGAUGGGAGCUGUAAUACAUGAAUCAUAUGUGCAUUAAAGUAUGGUAAAACUUCUUCGGUAAUUGGCAACAUCUACUUUUUACUUAUCUAUGAUAAUGGUUAGAAGUAAUCAGUUGAAUUAGGAAUGAACGUGUGCAGUAUAUUGUAAUUACUGUUUAAACGUGGUUGGAUUUUUGAUACUUCAAAAAGUAACAAAAAUAUUCACAUCUUUUUAAUUGGAUGAAAUCUCCGGCUUUUUGUGCAUUGCAAGUACAUUUUGUGAUUUUCCCUCUCUAGUCUCUAGCUAAAUAGUUUAAAUUCUAGUAAAUCUAAAUUUCUAUAAGAUGACAUUUACUGUACAUAGAAUACUUUACAGAUUAACUAAAAUGUAAGCAAAAGAGGAUAUGCUACAUUGCAAGUCCUGGGUACUGUUUUUGGAAUUCAUUGUAACAUUGUACCUUUAUGAACGAGAACUUCUUGAGUUCAUUUGGGAAAUGUAAAAUUGGGGAUAAUUCAACUUUCUAUAGAAAAUUACAUGGAGGAAAAAUUAAUGAUGAAAUAAUUAAUGUUUAAUGUAGAAAUAUGUAGAGAAAGGCUGUGAAUAUUAAGUGAUUACAUUCAUCCUUCCUUGAGAUCAGUGAUUUUUUUUAAAACUACAGAAAGUGCUGGAGGCUCAUGUUUGUGACCCACUUGUGUUUUGUAAAGAAUGAAAAUAUUAACAGUAUAUACCUACUAGGUAUAAAAGAGAGGGCACAGUUUUUCCUCCUCUUUGUUCCAGCUAAUGUACGGUACUCAUAACACAUGGUACUACUGUAUUCCCCCAUAUUCCUCUGAACUUGUUCACCCUUCAUAAAAAACAUGAACUUGACUGAGAAAUACAGUAUUUAUCGUGCAAUGCAUAGCAGCAUAACUCGUUUUCAUUCAGUAUAUGGUGUAUACAGUGUAUAGUUAUACAGCCGGGGAACUGGCCACUGAGUUGGGAAAGAGAUUAAGCAUUACAUAGUGGGUGUGUAGUUGAGGAAAGGCUGGUUAUUUUUUUUUUAAUUAUCCUUUUCAGCUGAAAACUUAUUCACUCACAGGAACAAGAGUGAUUAACAUAUCAUGCUAAUAUUAAAACUGUCGUAUUCUUUCAAGAUUUCUGAGUCCCUAGUAGUAUUCAUUCACCAUGUCAUUUUAUAUCUUGAAGUUUCUUUUGUCAAGUCAUUUAUAUGUCUUGUGAUUUGUUUUAAAAAUAAUGAAGACGAACAAGCUAAGUGCGGAGAAUACAUACUACACAAAAAUCCAUUAAAACGCAUUGCAUUUUAUCUUAGGCAAAUGAAUUAUGUCAUCAUAUGUGCUUUAGCUUUAUUUUGAAACAAUACCACAUAACUGUACAAUACUUGACAUUUGUUUUCAACAUUUUAUUUUGCAGUCAUAACAAACUUUUCCUUGUGCAAACCACCUGCUUAAGUCCCUUUUCCAAACAGAUUCAGUGGCUAGAGACUUGUGCUUUUAUUCUCUAAAAGUGCUUUCAAGGUCCCAGUUAUAAUUUUGGAAUGGUUGCAAUAUUACAGAUAAUUCAGGCAUUUUUAAGUUUGUAGAAGGAUCUUUUUAGGGUCCAGUAAUGUGUAUCCACGUAACAGAUAUCACUGCUGUUCAAAUGACAGGUAGCAGCUAAUGUUUUCACAAUUUUUGGAAGGAAUUAUUAUUAACUUCCUAAGUUUCAUGGAUGGUAGACUUAGAAGUAAUUAUGUAUACAGUUAGAGGACUUACGGUAAUUAUUGCGAACAGAACAACUUUGUAUGCUAUUGUACUCUGAAUACUGAUAUAGUUUUAGGAUUGAUCUGCAUUGGAUGGGUGAUUUACUGUAGUUGUCACAAUUACCAAAAUGAACACCUGCACAAAAUUUGUGAAUUUACUUCUUUUAACUUCAUUUGAAAUUGGAGGUAAAAGCUUAUACAGUAUUAACAUGGAAAGGAAGAUACUGUAGUUACAGUAUACCCUGUUAGAUGUUUACCUCACCUUUUCAUAACAGUUUACACUGAUUUUUGCAGUCUCCAAAAGCUUUUCACAUUUGGUUAGGAGUACAAUUGACAUCUGGUUUAAAGUUUCCCAAUAUUUAGCAAUGGUGAAAGAACAAUGCUCAAUCUGUCCCAAUUGAGUCGUAAAAUGUUUUGUAAGAAGAUCCUGUAGCAUUAUGAUUAGUCAUACCCACUGAAUUAAAGUAAAAGUAGAAUAGACCAUCUUUGAUCUUGUAGCAUUGUAGAUGAAUAGCUCAUUUUUUGUACCAGAAUGUGCAGUUUUUCCAACUGGUUACGUUGAUGAUAAACUGCAAAACCGUGUUGCUCUCAAAAACAUUCAGUUUGUUUGCAGUUUUUUUUGUUUACUACGUGAUGAUACUGUGUCUUUGAUGAAUAGAUAUUAAGAAUGUACACAGUAAGUACAAAAUAGUUCCCCAAAGUAUUCUUGGUUAUUGUAUUUUUCUUUUAUUUCUCUCAUAAAUGCCAAAAAACUUUUUAUUUCAGUAGAUUAUCAUAAUCAAAAUGUCCAUCUACCCAAAAAGGAUUUAAACUUUUUUUUUAUUUUUAUCCAGUCCUAAUAACAAUAGCAUUAAGGUUUUUAUUACAUCAGUAUUCCUUUAAUGGUGUAUAAGUAAUCCAUGCAGCGUAUAAUUUGUAUCAUAUUCAGAUACAUGUAGAUGUAGUUUAUCUGUAAUACACUACAUAUAUGCAAAGAUAGAAGUGUAUUGAUUUUCAAGUGCUGUACAUAUGUAGCCUAGGAGAUAAAUGCUAGUAUCUUAUAUAAUUUGUCAUUUGUUACAGAAGUUCUGUGUAUUUUUCAUUUUCCUAAAUGUUAGCUCCUUUGAAGUUAAUGUGCAUGAUACAUUAGAAUAUUUUGGCUUCCAUAUUCAUUGUUAAUUUAGUUUUUUAGGGAUCUCUUUCAUGUGGUAAUGUAAUGAACAGCCCUUGUAAGAAAAAGGAUAUUGCCAGUAGAUUUUCACUCAAAAAAAAAAAAUAGUGCUGUAGUCAUAAGUGCACUUUUUUAAUCUUGUGAAUAAUAGAGAGCACCCAUUACAUCUCAAUGAAUGUAGUAGCAGCACAACACGGUUAAAUGAAAUGUAAAUGUUAUAUAGCUCACAUUUAUUAAAAUGGUUCAUUGCUUAAACUACAUUUGUCGUUGAAAUACACUUUAUACAAAUUUGUAAAGUUUAAUGUUACAGUAUAUUUCCAGUAGGUGGAUUUACUCUUGAUGGUAAUUAGUUGACUAACACAUAUAUAUCUUAAACUUAUAUGUAUAUGGUCUUCAAGAACUGUUUUUUUUAUAGUACCGAGACCAUUCGAAUUUAGGAAACAUUUAACUGGUUUGCAGACACCCAUCUGCUACAGUGAGCUUCAGAAUAAAAACAGAUUUAAGGCGCUUAGAUCAAGUACAUGAAUUUAUAAAGUCACUGACAUUCCAGAUUUUAGAAUAUGAAUAUUGAACAUUCCAGCUGUAAGUAAAAAUGUACAGCAGUAUUGAAUUCUGCAGAUCUAAUGGGAAGUGUUCCGGAUGAGUACAGCUACAGUGCUACAUAUACAGUAUCUAUUUUUUUUCACAUUUAUGUAUUGGUGCUCUAACAACAAGAAUUGGUGCACUUACAAAGAGGGUUGGUAUAAGUUAAGGCAGCUACAGUAGCAUUGGACAUUUCAGAUUUUUUUCUGCUCUUAUUAUCUGUCAUAAUUUUAAUGUGUGUUAUUUUACCACUAUCAUACAGGUUUGAUUUAUAAACUUGAGUCAAUUAUUUUUGUCUUCUCAGUUAAUUGGUAUUUUAGAUUAUUACAUUUAUCCACUUGAAUACUUAUAUAUACAUACAGGUGAAUUAGAUAAAAUUAUGUGUAGUUUAUGAUAUCCACAGACAUGCACAGACAUCUCAUCUGCUUUGCCUUUUGAAUCAUGAAGGUUUUAAACUGUCAUUACAUAGGUACCUUGCAUUCUAGAAUUCUAUAUUUCUUUACACACAUCAUAACACCUCAGGUGCAAUCUUUUGUUUAGGGUUUAUAAUGAAUAUAUGGAGUGGUAAAGUCUAACCCUAUAGUGAGGAGAGCACUAAAAAAUGUUUCAAAAUAUUGUACUAUAUCUGCCAGCACAUAUUAAGGAAAAAAGUAAUAGAAAAUCACAUUUUACUUCUAGAAAUACUACAAUGCAACUCUUAAUUAUUAUUCUUAACAUAAACAUCAAUAUUUAUAAUGGUUGCUUGUAUACCAAGUUAGACUACAGAUACAAGAGUCUUGUAACAAAAUAUCAUGUAGUACCUUAGGUUUUUCUGUUAUCCAAUACAAAAAUAAUUCAAAACGAAAUGUUUACGGUAUAAUAGAAUCUAAAAUAAUUGACAUUGUUGCCAUAGGUUGAUGUUAUCAGUACCAUACAGGUCAUAAUAUAUAAGCUGAGCAAGCGAGAGAUUAACUAUUACUUUGUGGAGGCCAUAUUUGGAUAUUUACAUUUUUAUUUCAGCAUUACCAUAAUCAAUCAUAUGACAUCAGUUUAGUCCUUUAUAAGUAAAAGGCUGUAAUUGUGGAAUAAUGAAACAAAUAACAAGUUAAAGCGGAUUAAACCCAUUUGGGGUUGGGGCAGUUAUCAGUUAUAGAAAUGAUGGUAUAACAUCUCAGAAUUAUUUAAUGGCCUUCCCUCACAACCCGUUACCAACUGAAGAGAAUAUAUAAUGAAAUUGACAACUAUUGGACACAAAACUCUCAAAUAUUUUCAGAAUCUUCAGUAUAUUAUUUUCAUUCUUAUUUUUUCUAGCAUAUGACUCCAAAAUUAAGUUGCACUUUGUGUUGGCAGAUACAUGUUAUUAUGGGUUCUUAGCUUGGAAGUAAUCCUCAUGCAUUCUCAGGUCUUUGUUUAAUUGUCAUUUACAGCAACUUGGUUCGUCUUUUUCUUUUUUUACCAUAGGAAUAGAUCUGUGUAUAGUAAAAUUAUGUUACAAUAAAUUAAGCAGGGUAAUGAUAACAGUUUAUGCCUAAUUGAAAUAUAUCCACUUGCAUAGAUGCUCAGUGAAAUUUUUCAACAUUUCUCUAUAUUAGAAUAUUUAUUCCAGAGCAAGAUAUAUACAGCAGUAAGGUUGGCAUCUAUUACGUAUUACCAGACUUAAGUGGAAAGUAACUGUGUUGCACUAGGAAUUUCUGAAACAUGCAUAAUGUGCAGUUUACAGAGUUUUGAAGAAAAUACACUUGUAAUGGUGCAACUCCACUAAAAUAUCAGAAAAAAUCAUUAUGGAGAAGAUAUGUUAAUAUCUCCAAAAUUUUGUUAAUGAAAGCAAGAUUUAAAAGUAGCAGUCAUCAGAAUAACACUACAGUAUUUUUUUGCAGAAUUAUUCUUUGAAUGCAUAUAUAUGUCUGUGUAUCUAUCAUUAUGGGUACAUACAUAUAAGCAUUCUUUGUAAGCAAAGCAAAAUGUAAUCUGCAUUUGAGAGUACGUACAUAUAUUCUAUACAUUCUUCUUCAGUUAUUAAGUAAAGUUAAGUUUUUUCUUUUAUUUUUGAGAGAAUUUUAUCUUUUUAUAUUUUUGGUAUAGCUUAUAAAGCCAAAUUAUCCUUGGUCAUAAUUAACAUAAGUAUAAGACUUGAUAUGUUAAGAUCUAUAACAAUACAUGAUUUAUAAAUGUAGGCUAAAAUGUAUAAUGCUUAAAAUAUCAUUUUUAAACUUAAAUUAAUCCUGUCUAAUUUCUUUGUACUAGUUGAUUGUACAGUAAUUAUGAAUGCUUUGUAUAUAGUAAUGGGUGUUCAAAUGAUUUCAAGAAGGUUGCAUGCUUAUAUCAGUUGAAAGUAUAAUCUUUUAUUUUCACAAUUGAAAUUUUACUUUUGUCAUUAUAUAUAAUAUAAAAAUAAUCUUCAAAAAGAAACUUUCAUAAUAAAUUAAAUUUUUGUAACACCUCUUUAUUAGGAAUUAUGGUUGUCUGAUACGUAUUUAGGAUAUGGUUAUCUAGACUUAGAUGGUAACUUGUGAAAUCUGACAGCUAAAUAAGUCAUCAGAAAGCUUGAGUGGUAAUAUCAUGGAAAUUUUUUAAACAGUAAAUUUAUAAAUAAAUGUAAAUUUGAAUAUUUGUCAUGUAGGUAUUUAAUUUUAAUUUUGGAAUUGAUUGCAACAGGUUCAGGGAGCUUUAUGUGACGACUUCUCUAGUAUGUAUCAACUGUCCAUACGAUUAUUCUUUCUACGUCUUGCAUAGUUUUAAUCAUGUGGAUGCCAGGUAAAUUAAUACCCCCACUUGGAGAUAUAUUGUUUUAACUGCACACAUGUAUGUACAGUAUUUAGAAUAAUUAGUUGUAGUUUGGGAUGCUCUUGUGCAUUAUCUAGUUGCUUUAAUAUAUUUUCAAGAAUUUUAUUUUCCAGAGUAAAUACUCUUGCCUUAUUCUGUUAUUGAUUUAGUUUAGCCUCAUUAGUGUAAGAUUAUCAUUUUGGUAUUAGGUUUUUAUAUAUUUCAAAGAGGCAAAGGACUUCUCAUUCAUUAGUACAUUUUUCUGUCUUUGAAACUUUCCGGGAACUAGAUUUCAAAGCAUGGAACCAUGACAUGGCUUUUGAAAUGUCAAGGUACAGUAUGCAAACAAUGUGAACAUUUCUGAACUUCAAAGCAUUGAAUCUUAACUAUUGUAUUUGGCCACGCUACGUUUAAGGUAUACAUACAUUAGAUUAGAACUCCUUCAGGUCUUAAUAACUAUGCUCUCUUUCCAUAUUAGAAAGAGUUCAUAAGGUGCUAUUUUUCUGUGACAAGUUUUGUCUUUUUGCAGCGGUCGUAGGGAGUUAAGUACAUUAGUCUUUUAGAUUUUUAGGUUAAAUGGAAAAGUUCCAGUAAUUUCUUCACAUUCUCAAUUUCCAGAUUAGGUAAAUGGAAAAUUUUGAUUUCUAAAGGGACCAGGAUGUGUAAAAGUAUCUACUAAAAUUUACCUCUUGCUCAGCUAAGAGCUUAUGGAGUCCACAGGGGCUACUUGAUAGCCUUUAUGCUACAAUAAUUGUUUUAACAUCUGAAGCUCUUGGCCAAGAUGAGAAUUUUCUGUCUUUUACGGCAAUAUGCCAAGUAUUUUUUGUAAUAAGCUCUUAGACAUAUAAUUGUGUAUGUGAGUAGUAAUAUUUUUAGCAAAAGUUUAGGCUCUGUAGAUUUGAUGAAGUAUCGUGCAAUUUCAAGCUGUAGAGAAUAAUCAGUCACAAAAACAACUACAAUGUUUAAUUGUGUACGGGAUAUAUAUUUUUUUUAUCGUGAAAAGUUAUGAUAUGGUAAGAGAGCAACUAUUUGGAGGAUUGGAAGUACAAAGAAAAAAAAAAUUAGAAUUUAACAGUGAAGAAUUGGCGUUUCGCUGCAAAUUAGCAUAGAGGUUGAUGCCCAGUUACACUAUUGCAUAUGCACUGUGCAUGACUUGAAAAUUCAUUUUUGUAUCCAUUAUUUAUGAGGGUUCUUUUAAAGCAUUCUCAAAAUAAGCUCUAUAUCAUAGCAAAUCUGCUUAGUUGUGUGCUAUAGUAUAGGUUCUUUGAAUGUAAUAGUGGUGUGUAGUUAGAACUUAUACUGUACUUUUAUUUUGAAUGCAGGAAAGCUUCAUUGUCAGAUUUUGUGACAGAAGUAUUUGCUUUAGCAGCUACUCUAAUACUCUUUAUUACCUCCCCAAGGAUUUUAUUGAUAACUAAAUAGGUGAUUGAUGAUCAGCUGUUCAUUAUUUAUUCUCAAAACCCACUAAUUAACUGAACUCCACGAAUUUAUACAGUUAAGAACAACAGGGGCUAAGAUAUGCAUAAGUAUUUCUUUGCUUUUCAUUGUACAGUGCUCUGUAGCCUUCCCACCAUUAAUUUGUGCCAAAGUUAUGUAAAUAGUAUUUUUUUUAUUAAACCCUUAUUGAUACAGUAGGUAACUUCUUCACUGAUAUAAGAAAUAUUACUUGUAGAUAUGUGUCUUCAAGAUUGAGGUUUUUAACCCUUGCUUGCUGGGUACUUCACAUGGCCGUCACACCCAAGCAGUUAUUUCAGUCUCCCAAAAACAUUUUGAAAGCUAAAAAAGAUCUUUACGAUCAGUAUUUCCUAGAUUGGGAAAGAUAAAAGACCGAAAUAAAAAGUUUCCUAAAAUCAAUCUUUAAAUGCCAUAGGAAUUUAUGCUUUAUGGUUGUAUAUUUUAUUUUUGUUCACCAUUUUUAUUUUUCAUAUCAACAGCUACAGAAAUAUAGUAGUUGGUAAGAUAUUUAUUAACAUGAGUACUGUUGACAGAAAAUAUGUGAGGUAGAGCAUCACUUUAGAAGUUAUUUAAAAUAAUGAUUCUCUCACUGUAUUUGAAUAGUUCAUAAGCUAGAAAACCCUUUGAGACUAUGAAAAUUUGUGUGCUUAUACAUUUUUCACAUUGAAAAAAAAGGCAUACGGAUGUAUCCUAUAAAUAAUGUUUACAUUUUCUUUAGAUUAAUUAUGAUCAAAUAAAAUUAUAUAUAUAAUAUGAAAGAAUCAUGAAGACCUGAAAAUGAUCUUCCUAUAGUUGGAAUUUUGCAUUAGAGAUGAUAACCCUCUGUCUCCCAGCAUUCAAGGGUUAAUACUGAAAGUUUCAACCCCAAUUGUUUGAUAUGAAGGGGCCGAAUAGUGCCAUUACAAGAUGCUUGACUAUUGUAAUAAUGGGCUGAUGAAUUGAAAGUAAUCAGGCUCUUGAAGGGUAGUGUUAUAUAUAAUCUUAUGUCUCCCAGACUUUUUCACCAUACCAAAGGCAAACAGAAAUCAGUGUGAAGUGUAUAUUAAUAGAACAUGAGAAUGUAAUAUGUACAUUGUUUGAGUGCUUCACUUUGCAGCAGCUAAAUUGUAUCGGCACACUGAUACUUGUUUACUGUUUUAUAAAUUUAAUAUUAAGAUUUUCUUAAAAGUAAGUAUAAACCAUCUAGUUUGUACUAGUAUGGGGUUGGGUGGCUUCUAACGUCUUUGAAAAUGUAAGAUUGAAAGUUUAACAGGUGUAAGUUUCUGUAAGUUCACUUAAUGCUCUAAGGUUCACAAUAGAAAAAUAAGAUAGGUAUUAUUUUCUUCAUUUCAAAGUACAGUGGAAAUGAAACGGGAGUCAAUAUUUGGAGUUCUGCGCAAGUUUUCUUGUACCAAUUUGUGAAAUAUGUCUGUAGUUGAGCAUUCAUAUUUGUAAUCCAUACUUUGUUGACAAAGAGCUGUGUUGCUUGCCUGUAGCAUAUUAAGAUAAACAGCAGUGAGGAGUACAUCAUAUUUACUGCUAGGUGUAUGUAUGAUGACCAGAACUAUAGUCAAAGCAUAAGAUCUGCAUAUUACAAAAUGCACAUCCUGUUCAAGGAGAGCAUUAACAUAUCCUGUAUAUUUGCCAUCCAAGUGUCAAUUAUGAAAGCCUUGUUACUUGUAGUUAGUUUUCAGGUGUUCAUCAUAAUUCAACAAUUGGUGACUGAGCUGCAAAGUUAUUGAUGUGAAAAGUUUGAUUGCUCUAUUGUGCUGACUGAGGUUAUUUGUCUUUGAAAUAUACAAGAUGUUUGAGGUCAAGUAAGUAGUAUAAAUGUGUGCUUCCUUUGAUGUUAGUUACAGUUGUAGAUUGUGUAUGAAUGGAAUUAUAUGAUUUGCAGUGAUUUUAGGGAUGAAGUGCUGUUGAUGGAACUUUAUGGAGGCCUAUCAACUUGAUUUAAGUAGAUAAUGAUUAAAGUCCGGAUGGCUUUUGUGUUCUGCAAGUGCUAGAAUUUAUUUUCCAAAUCAAGACAGGUGUUCUUGAUAACUUAUUGAUAGUUACCAGAGGCUCAUUGAAAUCACAAUUAAAGGUAGUCUACAUUCUCAAAUGCCAUGUGCUCAAUUUUUCAACAGGGCAAAACUAGAAUCUCAAAUUUGAUCUCUUAAUCAAGCACAAAUUAUCUGCCUUUUUCAUUUUUGUACAACAUGUUAUUUCCUUCAUAUGCAGCAUUAACUAUAUUGGUUGAUAAGAUUUUCAUUAAGUGCAUUUUUAGGACAUAAGAUUUUGGCCUGCUUACUGUGAAAGUAACCCCAAGUGUAAAUCUUCAUUAAACUUGUACUAACCUCAUAAGGAAUCUUAAGGAGGUGCUGUCAUGUGGUAAUUAGUUUGGGUUACAUUUUCCAUGAGCAGGAAAGCUAAUAUUAAGUUUUUGUAAGUUUUCUUUUCUGUCGACAUGCCAGACUUGUUUUACAUUUGUGCUGCCAUGUUGAGCACCCAAGAAUGUGUAGUCUGUUUGAAUUAUAGGGCAUUGAUAUGAAUGCUGAUAUAAGAUAUAUACUCUGCAAGCUUUUCCAAUCCUCACCACUACCUCUUUAAUGCUUUUUUUAAGCUCAGAAUCUCACUGCUUGCUUUAAGUGUGUUCAGGAAAAAGAGUUAGUUUCUGUACAUAUAGUUUUGAGAACCUACAGUAAUAUUGCUGUCUUGUGCAUUUUUUAGGAUAUUUAUAGCACAUAAAAUUGUGUUACACAGCUAAAAUUUUACUGAAAAGUAUUGAAUAUAAUGUGUAGCAUUAUAUAUCAAGAUAAACUACAGAAUAAUUGGAGUCUGUUGGGUAAAAUCCUUGUUAUCAGAUAAUAACCAGAUCAGUAAUGUAGUAUAAUUAAAUACUGUACUGUAGUUCAUCAAAACUAAGAAAGGAUUACACUAAUACUUUCACAUGAUAUUAUUGCUGAAUGUGAUAUUGGUUUUAAGAGUGUGUUUUUAUGAUUUGUGAUAUGAAAAGUCUUUAUUUGGCAGCCAAGUGCAUAGUUUGCUUAUGUACAUGAAGUACUGUAAUAGGAUUGACAUUGAAGUUGAUACAAGAAUUUGUAAGGCUAUUAUGGAAGCAGUUGUCUUUGAUUUAGGGGUAAAAAUUGGUUUUCAAACUUUAGAUUUUCUCAUUUUUGACCAAAGACCAAAACUUAAGAAUAAGAUUUGAACUUGGGUAUAGUUUGUAAUUUUUAAAAGAUGAUAAAAAUAAGAUGUUAUUCAGUUACUGCUUUUUGAAAACAAUAGGCAGGGAAGGAAUGUGGAGUCUGGCAAUUGGUGAGAAGUUUGUCUUUCAGUGUAUAAAAAGAAACUUCAGAGCUCAAUUAUUUGUUAAAAUGCAGGCCUGGAUAAAGCACCACAAUGAUUUUUUAUUUUCGUUUGUAUCAUUGCUUCUAAUUGUCAUAUUUUCUAUAUUAUAUGGAAACAUUUAUGCAUAGUAAAUGUUGAAAAUAAA